CGACGCUAUUUGCUCCCCGUCCCCGCUGACCCCGCGCCCCGUCCCGCUGCACUCAGGGGCGGGAUCCGCGCUCUGCCCCGGGCUGCGGCCGGCGGCGGCGGCGGCGGCGGCGGCGGGGGCGGUGACGUCACAGAGCCGCUCGCCAGCACAACGUUCCAUUGAGGCGAGCGCGUGCUCCGGCGAGCACAUGGGCAGAGCGGCCCGCACCGCUCCGCUCCGCGCCGCUCCGCUCGGCCCCGCCGCCGCCGGACCCCCGGCCGGGGAUUGGGAGGGGGGGGGCGCGGUCCCAGCCAUGUGCCUUCAACCACUCUGGAGAAAUGUUGGGAGGAGCUCUCAGUGCGAUCCUUUCCAUACCUUCCAAGGAUUUUUAGGAUCGUGGGAUUUAUGGACCUGCAAAAUCCUCUGGAGAACAUCAGCCACCGACAAAACCAUCUGGAAAUUCCUGCUGUCUUUUUGCCCUGUCUUUCCUGAGUCACCGAGUCUUGGGAAGGAAGCAUCUCUGCUCUGAGGAUUACAGCAAAUCAGUUGCUUGCCGUCCUUACUGGAAUACCUUCCCUUUCAGUUGCUCAGAACAUAGCAAUUACUGAAGAAGGCAGAAGGAUAUUUUUUCCCUUUCACCGAGCUUUUGCAGCGCAGCAGUGGCUGUGUCCGGCUAUGUAGAUGGUUUCCACAUUCUCUACCCAAUUUCUUUUCCUGAUGUUUAGGAACUGAAUCAUUCUGUUUCCCUACUAGCCUCUGCUAAAGUACUCAAACUUGCUUUAUACAGAAGACAGCAGAAAGCCACAAAAUUGGAGCCUCAGUAAUUUCUUUACACCCACCAUUUGCCAGUGUUCUGGAUUGGAAACCAACUGCAACAGCUACUGAGAGUCUCAUUCCUCCUCCACGUGAACCUCCUUCCAGGGAACUGUGAAAAUUCCCACUUCCAUCUCCUUCGCAUACUGGGGUUUCAUGACCAUUAAAACCCGUUCCUGGAACCAUGGGAUGGCCCCACAGCAUGCUUUUGAUCCAGCUCAGAUGUGGGCUUCUCCGUGGGAUGAGUGCCCAGCAAGUCCAGCCAUCAAAACCUACCUAGACCCUAUGGAGCUGCAUGCUCUGACUCAUCCCUACUGAAAUGUCCCCACACCCUGCCCCAGGGCUGUGCAUUCCUGGGCACUGGUUGCCUGUGCCUCAUGAGGUCUUUCUACCAAACUCAUCACUUUGGCUUGGUUCUGCAUCACCACACUGAAACUGUGCAAACUGCAAGCCACCAAACUGUACCUGUGAGCCACCUCACGGGGCACAUGUCCCACAGUGGCUUGGCUGCUGGACCACUCAGGGUGGGAUGCGCAACACACUGCAAGGAAUUUAGUUCAGCACUGGUGCUGGUAGAGCACGGAGCUGGGAGAGCAGCAUCCCUAAUUCAGGUUGAUGCGUAGCUGUGUUGGAGCCCUUUCUGUAAACCACUUCAAAGGGCGUUUUGCUGUUUUGUCUCUUCAUUCACUGUUCUUUCCCACUUGUGCAUUUUGUGCAAUUUUAAAAACUUCUUGCAUGUAUUCCAUUCCUCUUAUCCUAGACCAAGUGGCUAUCUUCUCUUCUUUCUUAGCUGGCUUGUUCAUGCAGAGGCAAGGAGUAGCAAAACAUGUUUUUCCUUCUGAAAAGAGAGAAAAUAAAUGUUUGAUACCUGAUAAUAGUUUUUGUUGUUUGUCUGAGGCAGCUUGAAAUCCUUAGGGAAAAUCAGAAUUGUUCCAUUAGGAUGAGCUGCUUGCAAGCAUCCUGCCAAACUGGAACAGCCCUUCAAGCUGUACUGAAAUGAAUUCAAACCCUCCACAGAUAAGCACAACAUAGGGUAUAAUUUUACUUCAACAGAAGGAAAAAGUCCAGUACAUCAUCUCCUUUUAUUUCAGUGUCUGGUUGUCUUGACACCCAUGUACAUAUAGAAAUAUGCUUUCUUCACAUGUAUUUACUGAGGCACUCAAGCUAAAUGCAAUUGAGCCUGGUGGUUGCUGGGAUGGUUCAUCGUGCACGUCCAGGUGCCAUCUGUACACAGGGAAGCUGGCAAUGCAGUAAAUGGCUGUUUUCCCUUCUUUAAGAGAUGCAUGUUGGGGUUGACUUUUGAUGAUCACUUAGGAUCUUAAGCUUUUGUGCUUUUGCAUUUACCUUUGUGUUGGCUAAAUUUCAGUUCACUUACUUCCCUGUGAACAAUUCUUUUUUUGUUGAAUAAACUAUUCCUUGCAAACCAUAACACUGAUGUCAUUGUUGUUGUGGGGGUUUUGUUUGGGUUGGGUUGGGUUUUAAGCAGCUGUUGCCACCCAAUGGUGGAUUUCCCUUCAUUAUAUAUCUUCCAAAUACACCCUUUAACUGGUUUUCCACCAUUCUCACCUUGUGGAUUCCUAAAUAUUUUUAUUUAGUUUUGUGGAAAUGUGAGUUCCUCUCGAGGAAAUGGAAGCCUCCUGACAAUAAGCUUGCCUUUCUUAGUUGUUUUCCAUGAACUUGUAUGGUAUGCUAUACAGAUCUCUGUCAAGUUUCCAAAGCAAUUAGCUUGAAAGCCACCAUUCAGAUGGGGCAGUGUUGUAUACUUAAAUCUGUUCUUUCUAGUAGUUAUUGGUUAUGCCUGCUAGGAAAUUUCUGGAUCCUACUGGGUCCACAGUGGGUUUUUAACCCUCCCAUUCUCAUGGAACUGUUGUGGAAGGCAGAAUCAAAGUCUGCUUGGCAUUUGCCCAGAGCACGCACCUCAAACAUACAAGCUUGGGCAGAGUAUUGUGUUCAUGUGGCUCCAUGGCUUUUGUCUUAAGCUGAAUUGAGUCCAGUUGACCUUAGCACAAGUGGAGCAAGCCAAGGUCUGCCCAAACAUGUCUAGGUAGACGUGUCCCACUAGAGUUCCGUGAAAUUCCUGCUCCAUCUGCUUGUCUCAGUCCUAGAUCUUGCCUUUGGCUGCCCCUAGCACUGGACAUAUAGAACAUGCAUAGCUAUAAUCAAAGUGAUGCUGAAAAUGCCUGCAAUUUAAAAGUACUGUGUUAAUAAAACAGAAGGAGUUGUUGAUAUUCAACUAAGCAGAAUCCUGUUGCUUCUCAGAGAAAAGUGUUUUCAUCUUUGGAGCAACUCUGGCCAAAAGCUCUGGUAGUGACUUAAAGGGCAGGUGAUUACAACAUGAAAAACACAGUCUAGCCCAAGAAACACUUUUGUGUGUGUAUUUGCAAAAUUUUUUGUUUUGAGCCAUGAAAAAUGCUUCUGUCUGAGGCUCUAGUUGGGGCCUGGGGGAAAGCAAAGCAACUCCCCCUGCAUGGGGCAGGUUGGCAGUGAUGGGGCUGAGUCCCAGCAAGGAGCACUGAAAGCGGUAAGAAAGCUCUCACUUUAUUUCUAAGGUCUAGUGCGUUGUCUGUGGCUUGUGCCUGGCUUCUCUUGUUUCUGUGCGGACUCAAACCAAGUUCAAAUAAUGAUGAAAAACAAAAACAAAAAAGUGAUGCAACGCACGUCUCAUAUGACUAUUGGAUUUUCACUAGGCAUUGAGCUGGUGGCACCUGCAGUGAUGUGGGGCAGGAUCAUCCCCCUUAGCAUUGCAGAUGGACUGGCCAUGGAAGUCCUUUCUGAACGGACAUAGCCAAGGGAAAGUUAUAUCCACAAGGAAUGUGGGUUUUUUUGUUUUUUUUUUUUUGUUUUUUUUUUUUGUUGUUGUUGUUGUUUUUGGGGUUUUUUUUUGAAGAUGCCUGUACAUCUGCUGAGUAGCAUACAUAGAGCCUUGCAAAGCUACUUUGCUGAAUUGCCAAUGUCAGAGCUGCCUGAUGUGUGUUCCUGGCCAUAGGAUGCCUUCUGUGCUACCAAGAGUGAUGUAGAGAUGCUCAUAGUAACAGGUAGGAAUCUUCUGUGAUUUAACUGAGAACAAGCGAGACAUUUUAUAUGCCCAGAUGCAACAACAGUGCACCUGACUGAAGUAUAGACAGACUCUUACUGCACUGUGAAAUGCCAGCAGGUAGCUUGUGGUCUCCUGGCAACAUUUUGUGAGUGGGCUUUUGGGCCAUUUUCUGUGCUGUAAAUGUAGGAUUCAUACAUAGUACGAAGGGAUAUCAGACCUUGAUGGGUGUUAAACAUGCUAUUCACGCCACUGUGACAAGAGGAGCAUUAACUGUGCUCCAACAUUCACCUUGUACAAAUGGUGAAUCAAAGACCGUCCAUCCCCCAAGGAGGUCAUGGUCUGGAACACUGACAGAAGGAUGUGGUUGGAUACAUGCAGAUGGGGGAGUAAAAUGAAAAUGCCAGGAUGCUAUUGAUCAUCUUGUCAGAUGCAUCUCAGGACACCAGGACACUUACUGUGAGGUUUCUUGUAAAUGUCAUGGCAAAAAAGAGUUUUGAUGAAGUCAGUGAGAUUGUUUGGCAGAUAUCAGGGGAAUUCCUACCAGGCAAGAAAGGGAGCAGGAAAGGAGAAAGUAUUUCCUGUCAACAUGUUUUAUAUUGAUUAGCCCAGGAGACCUGCUUGCAAAGAAGUAGAUUUUGUAAGAGUGAGCAGCAGGUAACAGUGUAGGGUCUGAGUUAGGCCUUGAGAGUUAGGGAGCUCUUGUGUGAUGAGGUAGGGAAAGAGGGGAUCUUUGAAAAGGUGAAGUGGGAUAGAGAAAAUAGAUGUUACAUUUCUGAAGGAAGGAUUGUUGGGUUGACUGGGAUAUGGGAAAAUAAAAGCUUGGAUGGCAGCAGUGGAUUUGGAUGCUGGAUGAAAGGGCAUCCAAAAGAUGUCCCAAGACAUUAUUUUGAACUGAAGUAGAGAGGGAUGUUUGUGGGUCAUGUGUGAGGAGAAGAUCUGGGUGUGUGUUUUGAUGGAGGUGAAGGGAAGGUAGGAAAGAAUGGGACCAUGGUCAAAACCCACAGAAGGGAGACCUGAAGUUGGGCUGGGGAAUUAUGAAGAGAUAGGAAAGGAGCAAGGCAGGAUUCUUGGGAAUUCUGACCUUUGGUUAAAAACCCGCUGCAUUUUUCAGCAAAACCAUGAACAAACAAGUACUGUUAGUGCAUCCAGACCCAGACUGGAUCCUCUGUAGCUCAACCUAUAAAGAUAGUGAAAAGGUUUGAGUGUAACAUGAUCAGCAUCGGCUUAGUGGUGUGUGUGUGUGUGUCAUGGACCUGUGCUGCACAGCGAGGUGCCUCUGCAUGCUCCCAUUCCAUCGCUGCACACUUGUGAUGGGAUCCUAUUCCCAUAAAAUAGUCAUGUGCUGACGUCUCCUCCUGGUUACACGAGCUGGCUCUGGAAAACCUCAGCUCCUAGAUUACAAACAUAGCAGGGCUCUGUCUGCAAAGGUGUAAGGUUACAAAACACACACACACUCACGCAGCUUAACCGAAACCGCCUCAUUUUUAGCAGUUGUGAGGGUUUAUUCACUGCAGGGCUGUGGAGGAAUGCAGGAAUGUGAGUGGCGUUAAACCUAUUCAUUUGGAGGGGGA
ensembl:lncRNA